GCCGGGCCAGUUUGAGGUCGAUAGAGCGAUUGAAAUCAGCUGGCUGAACGUGGGACGCAUCCCGGAACGGGGAGCAAGUGCAGUUCUUCCCAGAAGCAGCUCCUGUGAGGAUCAGGGUGCAGAGCUGGGUCUUCAGCAUCCGACUUUUGUGAUGGGUUUAGGAUUUGAGGACCCCUCCAUCUCUCGGAAGAAAUGUCCACCCCAGAUGAAGGAGAUGUGAAUGGUCCCACCCAGAACCCAACUUCAUCUUGACCCCUAUUCUGGGAGGUCUCCUGCUCCCUAUCUCUUCAUUUCUUCUCAUUGGACCCGGAAUCGAUUGCCUCCAUACACAGUUGCACCUUUGAUGUCGUUGCCGAGCCCAGGUAAACGGAACAUUGAUUUCUUUGUACGUUCACUUACUCAUUUGAGAAAUGUUUACUGAGCAGCUACUACAGGCGAGGCACUGCCGAGUGAUCUGUGUGACCCGGUGGGGGGCAGAAGGCUCUAGAUUGUAGGACUCCUGUCCCCACUCCGCACUCCUUACCUCUCCUAACCUGGACUAUUCAGCAAAUAUUCAGGAUACAGGUGUAUUUUGUGCCAGGCACUGGGAAACUAUAGAACCAGUCAUUCCCCUUUGUAGUCGGGGGAGCAGUUAGACAGGGGGUGAGCCCUAAGGAAGCCCUAUUAGGAUCCCCAAGACAACGUUGCAGGAAAAGGCUAAAAUAUGGUAAUAGCGUUAAAGUGAGGUCAUGCACAGGGAGUAGCCGAAGUCUGCAUCACAACAAAGGGUCUGGGGAGGCCAGAAGUGGGCGCCAUUGUCCUUUUGUUACAGGGCGGAGUGGGUAUACUUUCUCUUUCAGAUCAGGAACCACCGACACGCGCCCUCAACAUCUUAGGAUCAGUGUCCAAACUGGCGUGCAGGCUGGGCUGCUUAUACCCUGCUGGUCACAUGGGAGAUUCCUGCUCUGUAACGAUCCCGAAGGCAGAGCCCAAGGGGGUUUCACUGAGACCAGGUACACAUCACUAGUCUCACAGGUGACAAUGAACAACACUGACAGGCUGGCAGUGACAAGCUUCCCUGAAACUUGCCUUGGCUCCGUGGUUACAAAGCAACGCUAUCAGAACAUUAUUAUGUCUUGAACAGAGGCCAGUGCUGCGCAGGCACAUCUCUCACUUUAGCAACUCAUCCAGGCCCACAGGAGUUAACCCUGGAGCCCCUCGGAUCCAUUCUCUAUGCUGCAUCCAGUGAGUUUUAAGAAAAUAUAAUAAAACCGAGUCUGAAGAAAACAGAAAAUAACAAUGCUGGCGAGGAUGUGGAGAAAUCACAGCCCUGGUGCACUGUUGGUGGGAACGCAAAAUAGUGUGGCCACUUGGGGAGACAGUCUGGGGGCUCUCAAAAAAUUCUGAAUAGAUCCAGCCAUCCCGUUUCUGCUGUUACCAGAAGACAGGAGGCCUGGAUGUUGGCAAAGUCCACAAGUCCACACAUACUGCUGGGACAGUGGCUGGUCCAAACUAGGUUUUCUAUCAUUUUAAUUUUUCUUCUUUUUCUUCUUUCCCUGACGUGGUUUCCUUCCCUUCUGACUCCAACCUUUCACGUACAUCUUUGCGAAAUAAACCUUCCUCCGCCACCUGGUCCACAAAGACUAGUUACCACAAUGUCUCCCAUAACCUGAAGCCCUGUAGGAAAGUUCCAUGUCAACCACGGCACCUUGAAUCCUGAGGGCUGACUGUUUCUCUCUGACUCCAGGCCACACCCACCUGCCCUUUCAAACACAUCACUAAUAUGAGCCCGGCUGGGAUGGUAAUGGCCGGCCGGCGUGUCAGGUGAAUUUGCACACUUCUUCAGCCCCACACACCUAGACCAUCCUCUCCCUUCUUUGUAGGUCCAACUUUUCCCCUCAGUGUCAACAAUAAUGCCAAAUUCAUGGUAUUAUUUUUUGUCUUCCCUGUCUUCCCUUCCUCCUAUCUCUGUCCCUACUCACCAGGACUUUACUCUCGCUACAACUUUUUUUUUUUUUAGGUUUCUUCCUCAUUAUUAAUAUUCUUUGCAAUCAUGUGGUCCAAAAUUCAAAAGGUACCAAAAGCCACAUGCAGCAAAAUUUACUCCCAUCUGUCUCAAGUUUCCUAAUCCUUUAACAGAGGUGACUGCUGUUACUAAUUUGUAAAUUCUUACA